rnacentral:tRNA from 1 species
GCAGAGAUGUCUGAGUGGUUUAAGGAGCACGAUUGGAAAUCGUGUGUGGGUGGAAGCUCACCGCAGGUUCAAAUCCUGUUCUCUGCGCCA